UUACGGCCGAAAAGAUGGCGGUCUUGGCACCUCUAAUUGCUCUCGUGUAUUCGGUGCCGCGACUUUCACGAUGGCUCGCCCAACCUUACUACCUUCUGUCGGCCCUGCUCUCUGCUGCCUUCCUACUCGUGAGGAAACUGCCGCCGCUCUGCCACGGUCUGCCCACCCAACGCGAAGACGGUAACCCGUGUGACUUUGACUGGAGAGAAGUGGAGAUCCUGAUGUUUCUCAGUGCCAUUGUGAUGAUGAAGAACCGCAGAUCCACUCUCUCCUUCCUGCUUCCUCCUUGCUGUGGUGGCUGGGAUGCUUCUUCCAUGAUUUUUUGAAUCUAGACUGGGCUGUUCUCUGUGUUAAACCAAUCAGUUGCGACCUUCUCUUAACAGUGUGAAGUGAGGGGGUCUCUCUCCCUCCUUCUCCUUCCUCUGUGAUUCACCUUCCUUUUUACCCUGCCCUGCGGCGGCUCCGCCCCUUACCUUCAUGGACGACUCAGAGGUGGAGUCGACCGCCAGCAUCUUGGCCUCUGUGAAGGAACAAGAGGCCCAGUUUGAGAAGCUGACCCGGGCGCUGGAGGAGGAACGGCGCCAC
rnacentral:lncRNA from 1 species